AUUGAACGCUGGCGGCAGGCCUAACACAUGCAAGUCGAACGAGUCGCGGACGGGUGUGUAAUGUCUGGGAAACUGCCUGAUGGAGGGGGAUAACUACUGGAAAUGGUAGCUAAUACCGCAUACCAUCAGAUGCGCCCAGAUGGGAUUGUCUUGUUGGUGGGGUAAUGGUUCACCAAGGCGACGAUCCCUAGCUGGUCUGCGGGGAUGACCAGCCACACGGGAACUGAGACACGGUCCAGACUCCUACGGGAGGCAGCAGUGGGGAAUAUUGCACAAUGGGGGCGAGCCUGAUGCAGCCAUGCGGAGGGUAUGAAGAAGGCCUUCGGGUUGUAAAGUACUUUCAGCGGGGAGGCGUUACCCGCAGAAGAAGCACCGGCUAACUCCGUGCCAGCCGCCGCGGUAAUUC
rnacentral:rRNA from 1 species